AGAGUUUGAUCCUGGCUCAGAACGAACACUGGCGGCGUGGAUUAGGCAUGCAAGUCGAACGAGAACGUUCUCUUCGGAGAACUAGUACAGUGGCGAACGGGUGAGUAACGGGUGGAAAACCUGCCCUUCAAUGGGGGAUAACAGUUCUAACGAGCUGCUAAUACCGCAUACGACCUUUGGUCCGCAUGUUCCAAAGGUGAAAGGUGGCCUCUCUUUGAAGCUGCCGUUGAAGGAUGGUUCCGCCUCCCAUUAGCUUGUUGGUGGGGUAAUGGCCUACCAAGGCGACGAUGGGUAGCCGGCCUGAGAGGGUGUCCGGCCACACUGGGACUGAGAUACGGCCCAGACUCCUACGGGAGGCAGCAGUCGAGAAGCUUCGGCAAUGGGCGAAAGCCUGACCGAGCGAUGCCGCGUGAGUGAAGAAGGCCCUAUGGGUUGUAAAGCUCUGUCAGAUUGGGAAGAAAAUCCUACGGUUAAUACCCGUGGGACUUGACGGUACCAUCAGAGGAAGCACCGGCUAACUCCGUGCCAGCAGCCGCGGUAAUACGGAGGGUGCAAGCGUUGUUCGGAUUCACUGGGUAUAAAGGGUGCGCAGGCGGCCUGUUAAGUCAGGGGUGAAAUAUGACGGCUCAACCGUCAAACUGCCCCUGAAACUGAGAGGCUUGAGUCCGGGAGAGGUAGGUGGAAUUCCAGGUGUAGCGGUGAAAUGCGUAAAUAUCUGGAGGAACACCGGUGGCGAAGGCGGCCUACUGGCUCGAUACUGACGCUCAGGCACGAAAGCAUGGGGAGCGAACGGGAUUAGAUACCCCGGUAGUCCAUGCCGUAAACGAUGGGUACUAGGUGUUGGAGGAUUCUACCCCUUCAGUGCCGCAGCUAACGCAUUAAGUACCCCACCUGGGGAGUACGAUCGCAAGGUUGAAACUCAAAGGAAUUGACGGGGGCCCGCACAAGCGGUGGAGCAUGUGGUUUAAUUCGAUGCAACGCGAAGAACCUUACCUGGGCUUGAC
rnacentral:rRNA from 1 species